rnacentral:rRNA from 1 species
GACGAACGCUGGCGGCGUGCUUAACACAUGCAAGUCGAACGGAAAGGCCCUGCUUUUGUGGGGUGCUCGAGUGGCGAACGGGUGAGUAACACGUGAGUAACCUGCCCUUGACUUUGGGAUAACUUCAGGAAACUGGGGCUAAUCCCGGAUAGGAGCUCCUGCUGCUGGGGGGGGGUGGGAAAGUUUCGGCGGUUGGGGAUGGACUCGCGGCGUAUCAGCUUGUUGGUGGGGUAGUGGCUUACCAAGGCUUGGACGGGUAGCGGGCCUGAGAGGGGGACCGGCCACGUUGGGCCUGAGAUACGGCCCAGACUCCUACGGGAGGCAGCGGGGGGGAAGAUUGCACAAUGGGCGGAGGCCUGAUGCAGCAACGCCGCGUGGGGGAUGACGGCCUUCGGGUAGUAAACCGCUUUCGCCUGUGCCGAAGCGUGAGUGACGGUAAUGGGUAAAGAAGCACCGGCUAACUACGUG